AGAGAUGCACUGGGUGUAAAGCGUGCGCAGGCGGUUUUGUAAGACAGAGGUGAAAUCCCCGGGCUCAACCUGGGAACUGCCUUUGUGACUGCAAGGCUGGAGUGCGGCAGAGGGGGAUGGAAUUCCGCGUGUAGCAGUGAAAUGCGUAGAUAUGCGGAGGAACACCGAUGGCGAAGGCAAUCCCCUGGGCCUGCACUGACGCUCAUGCACGAAAGCGUAGGGAGCAAACA
rnacentral:rRNA from 1 species